rnacentral:rRNA from 1 species
UACAGAGGGCGCGAGCGUUGUCCGGAAUCACUGGGCGUAAAGGGCGCGUAGGCGGCCAGCACAAGUCAGUUGUGAAAUCUCCGGGCUUAACUCGGAAAGGUCAACUGAUACUGUGCGGCUAGAGUGCAGAAGGGGCAACUGGAAUUCUCGGUGUAGCGGUGAAAUGCGUAGAUAUCGAGAGGAACACCUGCGGCGAAGGCGGGUUGCUGGGCUGACACUGACGCUGAUGCGCGAAAGCCAGGGGAGCGAACGGG